AUUGAACGCUGGCGGCAUGCCUUACACAUGCAAGUCGAACGGCAGCACGGGUGCUUGCACCUGGUGGCGAGUGGCGAACGGGUGAGUAAUACAUCGGAACAUGUCCUGUAGUGGGGGAUAGCCCGGCGAAAGCCGGAUUAAUACCGCAUACGAUCUACGGAUGAAAGCGGGGGCCCUUCGGGCCUCGCGCUAUAGGGUUGGCCGAUGGCUGAUUAGCUAGUUGGUGGGGUAAAGGCCUACCAAGGCGACGAUCAGUAGAUGGUCUGAGAGGACGACCAGCCACACUGGGACUGAGACACGGCCCAGACUCCUACGGGAGGCAGCAGUGGGGAAUUUUGGACAAUGGGCGAAAGCCUGAUCCAGCAAUGCCGCGUGUGUGAAGAAGGCCUUCGGGUUGUAAAGCACUUUUGUCCGGAAAGAAAUCCUUGGCUCUAAUACAGUCGGGGGAUGACGGUACCGGAAGAAUAAGCACCGGCUAACUACGUG
rnacentral:rRNA from 1 species